rnacentral:lncRNA from 1 species
CAGCUGUUCACUUCUCAGGAAGGGAGUCCAGAAGCUAUGUGGCUGCCUGUGUGGUCAGACGUGGGUGAGAAGAUGAGGAUGGAUGCUUGCUCCUCUCAUGGAAACAGAUAACUUCCGUACCUGCCAAACCAAUGGCAGAGGAGCUGGGAAGCUCACAGGCAUUGCUGAGGCCUUUGAAGAUGUUAGCUGAGAAAGGCAGACCAGCCAGCAUGGAGCUGCCCUCCCUCCCACUCAGCGCCUUUCCUAGGCCAAGGACCAGGUGAAGCCGCCUUGACCCUGAUCCAGCCGCCUGGGUUGCUGCUGCCGGGGAAGGCAGGCCUGGUGUGGACGGACCCCCUGACUUUUCAAGACACACUGGAGGUCACUGAGCCAUGUUUUGAGUCAGUUCUGCAUCUCAUCAAGACACAGGUAGGGGCGCUGCUUUAAACUCUUCCUGCUCUGAAAGCCCUGUCUGUGGGAUGGGUGAAGGGUGGAGGAGGUGAGGCGGGUUCCACACACACAGGGAAGGAGACAAGUCCUAAGUAAGGAUCUUGAUGCUGCUCAAUGGGACCAUUUCCUCAGGUAUGGUCCUCAGAGUAUGUCCCCAGCUGGGCAUGACCCGCCUUCCCCACUCAGAUGUCUCCCAUUUUCCCCCAAUCAAAUCCUACUCUUAGCACUUUUCAUAGCACCAAGAUGCCAGAGUCUGACCACGGGGCAAAGGGGCACUCUUCCUAGGUACUGUCUGAACCUUAGUUGAGGGGUGAUGCUCUCACAGGAUGGAAUUUUCACCUUCAGACUUGAGGGGCUGGGGUUCUACCUGGGAUCUCUGGAAUGUUCCACAAAGGAAUAAAUUCCUCUAAGUAUUAAGUGAAUUUGGGUCC